UACAGAGGUCUCAAGCGUUGUUCGGAUUCAUUGGGCGUAAAGGGUGUGUAGGUGGCGCCGUAAGUCGGGUGUGAAAUUUCGGAGCUUAACUCCGAAACUGCAUUCGAUACUGCGGUGCUUGAGGACUGGAGAGGAGACUGGAAUUCAUGGUGUAGCAGUGAAAUGCGUAGAGAUCAUGAGGAAGACCAGUGGCGAAGGCGGGUCUCUGGACAGUUCCUGACACUGAGGCGCGAAAGCGUGGGAGCAAACAGG
rnacentral:rRNA from 1 species